GACGAACGCUGGCGGCAUGCCUAAUACAUGCAAGUCGAACGAGCACUUCGGUGGUAGUGGCGCACGGGUGCGUAACGCGUGGGAACCUGCCCUUGGGUUCGGAAUUACGUCGGGAAACUGCCGCUAAUACCGGAUGAUGACGGUAGUCCAAAGAUUUAUCGCCCAGGGAUGAGCCCGGGUAGGAUUAGCUAGUUGGUGGGGUAAAGGCCUACCAAGGCGACGAUCCUUAGCUGGUCUGAGAGGAUGAUCAGCCACACUGGGACUGGGACACGGCCCAGACUCCUACGGGGGGCAGCAGUAGGGAAUAUUGGACAAUGGGAGCAACCCUGAUCCAGCAAUGCCGCGUGAGUGAUGAAGGCCUUAGGGUUGUAAAGCUCUUUUACCCGGGAUGAUAAUGACAGUACCGGGAGAAUAAGCCCCGGCUAACUCCGUGCCAGCAGCCGCCGUAA
rnacentral:rRNA from 1 species